rnacentral:rRNA from 1 species
UGCAGUCGACGCUUCUUUUUCACCGGAGCUUGCUCCACCGGAAAAAGAGGAGUGGCGAACGGGUGAGUAACACGUGGGUAACCUGCCCAUCAGAAGGGGAUAACACUUGGAAACAGGUGCUAAUACCGUAUAACAAUCGAAACCGCAUGGUUUUGAUUUGAAAGGCGCUUUCGGGUGUCGCUGAUGGAUGGACCCGCGGUGCAUUAGCUAGUUGGUGAGGUAACGGCUCACCAAGGCCACGAUGCAUAGCCGACCUGAGAGGGUGAUCGGCCACAUUGGGACUGAGACACGGCCCAAACUCCUACGGGAGGCAGCAGUAGGGAAUCUUCGGCAAUGGACGAAAGUCUGACCGAGCAACGCCGCGUGAGUGAAGAAGGUUUUCGGAUCGUAAAACUCUGUUGUUAGAGAAGAACAAGGAUGAGAGUAACUGUUCAUCCCUUGACGGUAUCUAACCAGAAAGCCACGGCUAACUACGUGCCAGCAGCCGCGGUAAUACGUAGGUGGCAAGCGUUGUCCGGAUUUAUUGGGCGUAAAGCGAGCGCAGGCGGUUUCUUAAGUCUGAUGUGAAAGCCCCCGGCUCAACCGGGGAGGGUCAUUGGAAACUGGGAGACUUGAGUGCAGAAGAGGAGAGUGGAAUUCCAUGUGUAGCGGUGAAAUGCGUAGAUAUAUGGAGGAACACCAGUGGCGAAGGCGGCUCUCUGGUCUGUAACUGACGCUGAGGCUCGAAAGCGUGGGGAGCAAACAGGAUU